rnacentral:rRNA from 1 species
UGGGGAAUAUUGGACAAUGGGCGAAAGCCUGAUCCAGCCAUGCCGCGUGUGUGAAGAAGGCCUUUGGGUUGUAAAGCUCUUUUAGUGAGGAAGAUAAUGACGGUACUCACAGAAGAAGUCCUGGCUAACUCCGUGCCAGCAGCCGCGGUAAUACGGAGAGGGCUAGCGUUAUUCGGAAUUAUUGGGCGUAAAGGGCGCGUAGGCUGGUUAAUAAGUUAAAAGUGAAAUCCCGAGGCUUAACCUUGGAAUUGCUUUUAAAACUAUUAAUCUAGAGAUUGAAAGAGGAUAGAGGAAUUCCUGAUGUAGAGGUAAAAUUCGUAAAUAUUAGGAGGAACACCGGUGGCGAAGGCGUCUAUCUGGUUCAAAUCUGACGCUGAAGCGCGAAGGCGUGGGGAGCAAACA